CAGGACAUAGAACAGAAACAAUAGGAUUAUAGGGAGAUGUUACCAGGAACAAUAUGACACACAGGAACAACAAUGACCCAACAAAAACUGAGUGAAGAAUAAAGGUCUAUAUGUAAAGGAUUGAAAAAAUUGUAAAUAAUAGGAAAAUGUAAAAACCAUACCAGAAAUGAGAUAAGAAAAAACACACAGGCCUACUAUAUAUUUAUUUAAAUGUUUCAUUUAUUUUCACUCAUUUAAUCAUUCGUUUGUACUCACAUCACUACAUUGUUAUGACAUUCUGGGGCCACAAGGCGGCGCCUCGCAUUUGUGGUAGAAUGUGAUUUACGCGAACACAGACACAAGAAUAAAUCUUCCUGCCACGAUGAUAAUGUCUGCAAAAGGUGUAUCUCCUUUAUUCUUACCACAGUUUUUUUGGAAUUAUUGCCAAAAUCAGGAAAAAAGCUAUUCUCCAGACAAGAAUAUAAUUUGCAGCAUCCUGACUAUCAGACCAGGGAGGCAACACAUACAGUAUACUGAGGGCACCUGGCGAGACGAGUGAGACUGAUGAACAGGAAAUAACAGG